AUUCCCUUAGUACGGCGAGUGAACCGGGAAAAGCUCAAAUUUGUAAUCUGGCUGUCUUCGAUAGUCCGAGUUGUAAUCUAUAGACGUGUUUUCCGUGCUGGACCGUAUCUAAGUCCCUUGGAACAGGGUAUCAAAGAGGGUGACAAUCCCGUGCUUGAUACGACCACCAGUGCUCUGUGAUACACGCUCUACGAGUCGAGUUGUUUGGGAAUGCAGCUCAAAAUGGGUGGUAAAUUCCAUCUAAAGCUAAAUAUUGGCGAGAGACCGAUAGCGAACAAGUACCGUGAGGGAAAGAUGAAAAGCACUUUGGAAAGAGAGUUAAACAGUACGUGAAAUUGUUGAAAGGGAAACGAUUGAAGUCAGUCGUGUUCUUUGGAUUCAGCUAGUUCUUCUAGUCUACUUCCUUUGAACGGGUCAACAUCAGUUUUGUCCGGUGGAUAAAGAUAGUAGGAAUGUAGCUCCCUCGGGAGUGUUAUAGACUAUUAUUGCAUGCACUGGGUGAGACUGAGGACUGCAGCUCGCCUUUUGGCCGGCCUUCGGGUACGUUCGAGCUUAGGAUGUUGACAUAAUGGCUUUAAACGACCCGUGUG
rnacentral:rRNA from 1 species